rnacentral:tmRNA from 1 species
CUAUCGUGAUAAAAUAGGUAUGUACGCAAGUACUAUGGUAAUAAACGGUUCGCAGAAUAGUUUUCAUGGACCGGGGGGCGGUACCCCGCACUUCCACCAUUUUAUGGGAGUGAAAUAGGUUCGACAUGGGAAAGUAAAGGUGAAUUCGUUACUCGGCAUUGUUCCACCGUUAUCGGGCUAAAAAUUUAUAAUUGCCAACCUUAAUCGGAAAAGCAAUGGACGUCGCAGAGUUUCUAACCUUAACAGGAAAGAUGCUCAGAAAAAAGUUGCGUAAUUGUUAUUAAUUCCUUCUUUAAGGAUUAGUUAAUAUUACCAAUGCCGUUAUGUUAAAAUGACGGUAACGUCGUGCGGUCUGGGGACGCCGAGCAACAGAAGUCCCC